GAAGCACUGACCAUAAGAUCAAGUUCAUCAAUUCUCUGUCCACAGGGAAAGAAUGGGCUGGUAAAAACAACAACAACAACAACAACAACAACAACAAAAAAAAAACUGGAACUGGCCAACAGAUCCUCUCCUCCGAAAACAACCUCCUGUGGAACAAUAGAGAAGGCAAUUAGAUAAGAAAUAUUUAUUACUGGGACCAAAUUUUAACUGGACUCACAGAACCUCUGGGGUCAGACCCCCAGAGUCAAAGCAAAGAAUGAAAACAAUUACCUGGAUCAUUCAAGGGGAGGAAAUAAUUUUUGCUUGAAUGAGUGUCUGAAGUAUGGGAAUGAUUUUUCCCAUCCUCUGCUUGGUCUGGUAGUGGAGACCUGGUGGAUGGAUUCAAUAGCCAAGAAUGAAAGACACAGGAAACAGUGGAGCCCGGUGGUAGGUUGGUGGGUGGAGACCAGCCAAGUCCAGCUGGGGCUAGGGAGAGAUUCUCUGGAGCUGGACAAGAAUGUCAGCAAAGCUGAAAAUCCACAUGGAGAUCCCAGGCCCAACAGACAAGGAGUGCAGUCUGAAAAGAGCCAUAUUUGGUGACGGAAGCUGGGAAAGUGGAAAAUCAAGCAAAACAGAAUUGGGAGAAAAGAGAGAGAGAGAGAGAGAGAGAGAGAGAGAGAGAGAGAGAGAGAGAGAGAGUGUGUGUGUGUGUGUGUGUGUGUGUGUUAGGAAGGGUAAAACAUUUGUCUAUGCCAGAACUUUCCAAACCUGGCCACCCAUCAGAUUAACAUGUUGAGCUUUUAAAUGCAGAUUCUUGGACUCUAGUGGCAGAACCAGAGAGUUACAAAUUUUCGAGGCUCAGAGUGAUUUGCCAUUGUGAAAACGGAAGGUAUGCUGUCAUUCGGUGGGUCCUGAAAGUCUCCCCUUCUGAAAGAUAGUUACUUCAAUUAUGAAUGAUGUAUCAUUUGCAGUUCACUCAUCGCCCACUUGUUAUUCAUUUUUCAUAUACCAAUUUCCGGCAAGGGCAACACAGUAGUUUGUGAUCUUGCUACAGAAAUUAAUAGCAGCUAAUUGUGGUGAAGUUAAAAUUCCACAAAUUAUGUGAUACUCUUUUUCAGGAGGCAAAACUUCAUUCCCCUAUCCCUGAACACUUGGUGCCUUGCUGGUAACAGAUAGAAUACAGCAGAACUGAUUUCCAAGGCAAAAAAGGGCUUUGCAGAUUCUUCUCUUUCUCUCUCUCUCUCUCUCUCUCUCUCUCUCUCUCUCUCUCUCUCUCUCUCUCUCUCUCUCUCGUAUUGUUCACUGCCAGAGCUUCCAUGUCAUGAGGACACACAAGCAGCUUCCAGACAUGUUCACGUAAUGAGGAACUGAGGCCUCCUGCCAUCGAUCACUUGAGUGCGCCAUUUUGGAGGAAUGCCCUGAAAGGAAUUAUGGGACCUCAGCACUCCUUUUUCUGGUCUCUGGGGCUGCCAUGAAGUGAGCAGCUUGCUCCACCAUGCAUUCCCCACCCUGAUGUCCUGCCUCACCACAAGUCCACAGUCAACAGGGCCAAUCAACCGUGGACUGAAUCCUCCACAACUGUGAACCCAAACAAAUCUUUUCUAAGAUGCUUAUCAGAAGAUAUUUGUUACAGUAACAAAAAGCUAACCUACUACCCUAAGUUAGGCAUUGAGUGAUUUGCCCCAAGUCAUACAGCCUGGAUUUGCACCAGGCAGUGUGACUACAGCACCCAUGCUCCUAACAAUGUCUCUGGUAGAGCAACAAAUGCCAGUAGGUACCAAAUUCUUGACUCCUGGCAUGAGACAAGUGGUCCGCUUCAGCUUUUCAUUUCGGAAGCUCUGCUCAUGCACACUCCACUAACAUCACCACUUAAGAGUCAGUCCCCUGGCCUCUCCCUUAUUUCUUACCCUUACCAUUCUGAUUCAGCCCCUCAUCCUUCCUGUUAGUUUUAGCCCCCUUCCUCGAGGAUUUAAGUUCUCCUUCCUGUAAUAAAUGGACUCAUGUCCCCCACCCAAAUAUAUAUCCAAGUCCUGUCCCCUGAUAUCUGUGAAUGUGACCUUGCUUGGAAACAGAGUCUUUGUAGAUGUGAUUAAGGUAAGAAUCUCAAGAGGAGAUCAUCUGGGAUUUAGGGUGGGUCCUAAGUCCAAUGACUAGUGUUCUUAUAAGAGAAAAGAGAGAGAGGGAUUUGAGACACAGACAUGGGGGAGAGCCACAUGAAGACAGAAGUGGAGAUUGGAGGGACGCACCUAUAAGCCAAGGAGCACCCAAGAGUUGUUGAGCCACAGAAACUAGGAGAGACACACAGAAUGGAAUCUCUCAGAGCCUCCAAGGAACCAACCCUGCCAACCCCUUGAUGUUGGAUUUCUGAUUUCCCGAACUGUGAACGAGAGAACAGCAAACUAGAAGCAUCCUGGUGAAGUCUCCCUGUCUACAGCUCUGCAUUUAAACAUGUAGAUACUUGGGGAUGAAGGGUGUGGAGGAACAAGGAGGUGCGAUCCAGCGCCAUCACUUGUCUGCCUUUGAUAGCAUAUAAAAUUUCCCAUAAAGCCACAGCAAAGUAUAACUUAAACAUUUAAGUGACUCCUUCAGAUCCUUAAAGAUGCUAUAAAUACAAUCCUGGUGUAAUUUACAAAACUAUUAAAAUAAAUGCGUCCACUAAAAUUAA